CCUACGGGAGGCAGCAGUGAGGAAUAUUGGUCAAUGGGCGAAAGCCUGAACCAGCCAAGUCGCGUGAAGGAUGACGGCCCUACGGGUUGUAAACUUCUUUUGUCCGGGAGCAACUCGGUCUACGUGUGGGCCUAGCGAUAGUACCUGAAGAAAAAGCAUCGGCUAACUCCUUCCCAGCAGCCGCGGUAAUACGCAGGAUGCGAGCUUUAUCCGGAUUUAUUGGGUUUAAAGGGUGCGUAGGCGGAAUACCAAGUCAGCGGGAAAAUUUCGGGGCUCAACCCUGCCUUGCCGUUGAAACUGGUGUUCUUGAGUGGGCGAGAAGUAGGCGGAAUGCGUGGUGUAGCGGUGAAAUGCAUAGAUAUCACGAAGAACCCCGAUUGCGAAGGCAGCAUACCGGCGCCCAACUGACGCUGAAGCACGAAAGCGUGGGUAUCGAACAGGAUUAGAUACCCGAGUAGUC
rnacentral:rRNA from 1 species